GUCUUUCCCAGUCAAAUAUCCAGUAACAAGGACAUGCACUCCCCCAUUGAAGGACUCUUGGGAAUCCACAGACUUAAUCUCUGCUCUGAAGUCCGCAUAGUUAAGUGACAGUAUCUUAUCAUUGAUAGCUUGCAUUGUGGACGUAAUGCUCAUGGAGCCAUCAUCUUCAGGGCGACCAAGCUUGCUAAUAUCCUGAUAAAACCUAAAUACCAGCCCUGGUGAAUGGUGAAGUAUAUGAUAAUACUGCUGCACAAAUGCAUUUCCCACAACUUGAGCAGACACAGGUGGUUGAGCCGCCGCCAUCGCCGAUCGAUCUCAAGUCACAAACAGGAGCAAUAAAAUAGGAGAGAAAGAAAGAGAGAGAAAUAUGCUCUUUCCCUCUAAGCUUCUUCUCCUUUAAUCAACUCUCUCAGAUACACAAAGUGACACACAUAAACGUACACACACACUCUCGCCUAUGGAGAUUUGUGUGUAUUUUAGGGUUUUGGUAGGUAGCGAGUGGUGG
rnacentral:misc_RNA from 1 species